rnacentral:rRNA from 1 species
CCUACGGGUGGCAGCAGUGGGGAAUAUUGGACAAUGGGGGCAACCCUGAUCCAGCCAUGCCGCGUGUGUGAAGAAGGCCUUUUGGUUGUAAAGCACUUUAAGCAGUGAAGAAGACUCCAUGGUUAAUACCCAUGGACGAUGACAUUAGCUGCAGAAUAAGCACCGGCUAACUCUGUGCCAGCAGCCGCGGUAAU